GCGGGUUAACUUCAGUGGUAGAAUGACGGGUUCAUAUCCCGUUACGCGAUGGUUCGAGUCCAUCACCCGCC
rnacentral:tRNA from 1 species